rnacentral:rRNA from 1 species
GUCAGUCAGAGAGGCAUAGAAUGCAGUCGACGAUGAACCGCUUUCGGGCGGGGAUUAGUGGCGAACGGGUGAGUAACACGUGGGCAAUCUGCCCUGCACUCUGGGACAAGCCCUGGAAACGGGGUCUAAUACCGGAUAUGACCGUCUGCCGCAUGGUGGAUGGUGUAAAGCUCCGGCGGUGCAGGAUGAGCCCGCGGCCUAUCAGCUUGUUGGUGAGGUAGUGGCUCACCAAGGCGACGACGGGUAGCCGGCCUGAGAGGGCGACCGGCCACACUGGGACUGAGACACGGCCCAGACUCCUACGGGAGGCAGCAGUGGGGAAUAUUGCACAAUGGGCGAAAGCCUGAUGCAGCGACGCCGCGUGAGGGAUGACGGCCUUCGGGUUGUAAACCUCUUUCAGCAGGGAAGAAGCGAAAGUGACGGUACCUGCAGAAGAAGCGCCGGCUAACUACGUGCCAGCAGCCGCGGUAAUACGUAGGGCGCAAGCGUUGUCCGGAAUUAUUGGGCGUAAAGAGCUCGUAGGCGGCUUGUCACGUCGGUUGUGAAAGCCCGGGGCUUAACCCCGGGUCUGCAGUCGAUACGGGCAGGCUAGAGUUCGGUAGGGGAGAUCGGAAUUCCUGGUGUAGCGGUGAAAUGCGCAGAUAUCAGGAGGAACACCGGUGGCGAAGGCGGAUCUCUGGGCCGAUACUGACGCUGAGGAGCGAAGCUGGGGGGGAACAAAAAAAAAAAAAGGG